rnacentral:lncRNA from 1 species
UUUCCUCAGCCAAUCGGUGAAAUUUGGUCCAGUUAAGCAAUUAAUAUCAAGUAUUUUGGCAAGUGGGUUAGAUGCAGCCAUUUUCUGUAGAAGGUUAAGAUUCUAAUUAGUUAUGUACUUAAUCUUAAUCCAUUUGAUUAGGGUCUUUAAAUCUAAAUGGUACCUCCCACUAAUUUGACGAAUCUCCACACUUCCCGAGCGGAGAAAACGGAAACUUUGUUUACAAGUUUCUAGUGGGUAUUGCGGUCCCAUCUGUUUACACACCACCUCAUCCUGACAGAUUCUUGGCAAUGAGCAAACAAAUAAGUGAACAACUCUUGUUCAAUGCUUCUCAAGCAAAUUGCAAUCUAAUCCUUGGCCUCCAUAAGAUAUAG